AACGUAGGAGGCAAGCGUUAUCCGGAUUCACUGGGCGUAAAGCGCGUGCAGGCGGUUCGGUAAGUUGGGCGUGAAAUCUCCUGGCUCAACUGGGAGAGGUCGUUCAAUACUACCGGGCUAGAGAGUGGUAGAGGAAGAUGGAAUUCCCGGUGUAGUGGUGAAAUGCGUAGAUAUCGGGAGGAACACCAGUGGCGAAGGCGAUCUUCUGGACCAUUUCUGACGCUCAGACGCGACAGCUAGGGUAGCAAACGGGAUUAGAGACCCCGGUAGUCCUAGCCGUAAACGAUGUGAACUUGGCGUCGGUGGGUUAAACUCCAUCGGUGCCGCAGCCAACGCGAUAAGUUCACCGCCUGGGGACUACGGCCGCAAGGUUAAA
rnacentral:rRNA from 1 species